GGCCUCGUAGCUCAGCUGGUAGAGCAUGCGCGUACAAAGAGUACGUGGUGUCCAUGCGUGGGUUCAAAUCCCACCGAGGCUA
rfam:Echinostoma caproni strain Egypt genome assembly, scaffold: ECPE_scaffold0001629